CGGACGGGUGAGUAACGCGUGGGAACGUACCCUUUUCUGCAGGAUAGCCACUGGAAACGGUGAGUAAUACUGCAUACGCCCUUCGGGGGAAAGAUUUAUCGGAGAAGGAUCGGCCCGCGUUAGAUUAGGUAGUUGGUGGGGUAAUGGCCUACCAAGCCUACGAUCUAUAGCUGGUUUGAGAGGAUGAUCAGCCACACUGGGACUGAGACACGGCCCAGACUCCUACGGGAGGCAGCAGUGGGGAAUCUUAGACAAUGGGGGCAACCCUGAUCUAGCCAUGCCGCGUGAGUGAUGAAGGCCUUAGGGUCGUAAAGCUCUUUCGCUGGGGAAGAUAAUGACGGUACCCAGUAAAGAAACCCCGGCUAACUCCGUGCCAGCAGCCGCGGUAAUACGGAGGGGGUUAGCGUUGUUCGGAAUUACUGGGCGUAAAGCGCGCGUAGGCGGAUCAGAAAGUUGGGGGUGAAAUCCCGGGGCUCAACCUCGGAACUGCCUCCAAAACUCCUGGUCUUGAGUUCGAGAGAGGUGAGUGGAACUCCGAGUGUAGAGGUGAAAUUCGUAGAUAUUCGGAAGAACACCAGUGGCGAAGGCGGCUCACUGGCU
rnacentral:rRNA from 1 species